rnacentral:misc_RNA from 1 species
AAAGUCGUAACAAGGUUUCCGUAGGUGAACCUGCGGAAGGAUCAUUACCAAGUUUAAUCCAAAACACUCAACCCAUGUGAACCAUGAUAUUGUCUGUCUUUGGGGUGAAAUGAUGCUUAAUGUAGCAUUUUGCCCCACAUUUUGUAAAACAUUCCUUUUUAUUUUGUAUUGGCAUCAAUCUUGUCUUAAUAAAACAUUAGACAACUUUUAACGGUGGAUCUCUUGGCUCGUG